GGAAGUAAAAGUCGUAACACGGUCUCCGUUGGUGAACCAGCGGAGGGAUCAUUAUCGAGUUUAUAACUCCCAAACCCCAUGUGAACUUACCACUUGUUGCUUCGGCGCGCGCUUCGGCGCCGCCGAGGACACUUAAACUCUUUGUUUUUAUAAGCAUUUCUGAGUGGCCGAAAGGCAAAAUACAAAUGAAUCAAAACUUUCAACAACGGAUCUCUUGGUUCUG
rnacentral:misc_RNA from 1 species